rnacentral:rRNA from 1 species
UACGAAGGGGGCGAGCGUUGUUCGGAUUUACUGGGCGUAAAGGGCGCGCAGGCGGCGCAUUUUGUCAGGCGUGAAAGCCCCGGGCUUAACCUGGGAACUGCGUUUGAUACGGAUGGGCUAGAGUUCGGGAGAGGAGAGUGGAAUUCCGAGUGUAGAGGUGAAAUUCGUAGAUAUUCGGAAGAACACCAGUGGCGAAGGCGACUUACUGGACACAUAUUGACGCUGAGGUGCGAAAGCGUGGGGAGCAAACAGG